rnacentral:lncRNA from 1 species
CUUAAAAGUAAUUAAUUGAUAGCAUUGACAUUCACCAUUUCGUUUCAGGUUUUCCAGUGUGGGCUAGGGAAGCUCUCUAGAAGUUCUUUGGAGGUUUGCAUCCCACUCUCUUUGCUGUGUGAUUCAAGAGGAAUUCACUGACCUCCAAAUAAACACCAUUUUAGGAUGAGAAGCUUCUGAGAUUUGGGAAUCUACAGACAAUUUGGAAGCUUGUCAGGAUUAUUCUGCAAAGUCAACCAAAAGAGGAGGGCUGGAGUUCACAGAUUAUUAGCACCGAAUGUUGGAUUCAGAGGUUAUUAGCCACGUAUGGCAAAUGGAGUUCCUUUUCUGGAGAGGAAACUGUGCAGGAAACAAGACUGUAAAUGAUCCAGCUUCUGAUUCUACAUAUAUUAUCCAUCUUUGGCAGUUUCCCUGCCCUAGACUCAGAUGAAGGUUGAAAGGGUGAAGUCUCUGACCAUGGGAAUUUCAGAAACUAGAAGAACAAGC